CCUACGGGUGGCAGCAGUGGGGAAUAUUGGGCAAUGGACGCAAGUCUGACCCAGCAACGCCGCGUGAAGGCAGAAGGCUUUCGGGUUGUAAACUUCUUUUAAGGGGGAAGAGCAGAAGACGGUACCCCUUGAAUAAGCCACGGCUAACUACGUGCCAGCAGCAGCGGUAAUACGUAGGUGGCAAGCGUUGUCCGGAUUUACUGGGUGUAAAGGGAGCUUAGGCGGGCGAGAAAGUUGAAUGUUAAAUCUACCGGCUUAACUUGUAGCUGCGUUCAAAACUGCUUGUCUUGAGUGAAGUAGAGGCAGGCGGAAUUCCUAGUGUAGCGGUGAAAUGCGUAGAUAUUAGGAGGAACACCAGUGGCGAAGGCGGCCUGCUGGGCUUUAACUGACGCUGAGGCUCGAAAGCGUGGGGAGCAAACAGGAUUAGAUACCCUUGUAGUC
rnacentral:rRNA from 1 species